CUGGGCAAUAACAUCAGCAAGUCCGUUUACAGAGAAUGGAUAUUUUGAGGACUGUCGGCGGUGCGUAGCGCACCGGGGUCGCUCAGACUGGGAAACAUCGCAUUUAUCCACGAAAAGAAGCUUAGGAGAAUCACUGGCACCGUGGCACGAGUGCUACACUGUUGCGUUUUUCUUAUUUAGGAGAAAACAACAUUUCAAGUUAUUUUGAAAGAAAAUGGUGCAAUUCGUCCCCAAGGAUAUUCUUUCUAAAUUUGGGGAUUGUGCAAUACCAGCGCCACUGAUCAAAAAGAGGGGCGGUGGUGGUGUGAUGAGCAGCAGCGAACUUCAACUUCGCACACAUCUCCAAUCUCUCCCAUACACUCCUCAUCAAGCGAGGGUUUUGCGCGAAGUCAUCUUGCUGUCCAAGGGAUGCGGACGAGACAUCACGGAUCCUACCGUGUUGCGUGUUUAUGCGGAACAUGUUUGUGUCUUUGGAGAAUAUCAGGUUCAGGCAGUCUAGAGGCCUUGUGAUCCGACUGAGCCCCGGCUUUGUGGGAUACUCUAGGACGCCAGCAUUAAGAUAACGAGACAGUCACGCUGCCAGAGUGGUUUACCAGAUGGCUUCCAUGGAGUUUCUCAACCUCCACCAAAUAGGGAAUUGCCAUUGACAGCAAGUAAACAGCCAGAACACCAACUGCCGCCAACGUAAACAUCUUAAGGUAGCAAGCGUCUCUGCUACAUUCAAAACCACGGCUGCAGUUGUCAGGUAAAAACAACAUCCUCCUUACACUACCUCUCAAACACUUUCACAACCCAGACUCAACUCUUACAAUCUCUAUCCCAAAUGUUGAAUUAACGUUGAAUGAAUGUAUUAACUGUAUACAUAUUAUCUGUAUAGGCUCGGUUAAAGGUCAUAAAGCAUCCAAUGACGGGUGGAAAUGAAGACCACACAGCUUGAAGAGAUCAGGUUGAAGAGGGAGGACAUAUUUAACUUGUCUCUGGCAGGCAGCAGUGUUGGAGGGAGGCUUGGUGGUCUGUGUGUGACAUGGAGAAGGGCCCACCGGCACCGCAGCAGCCCCGCUGAGGCCAGAUCUACAGCUGUCACACCCUGCCAGGGCCUCUGCUUACAGUCACUGUGAGUUACAACCGUUGCUCCUCACUCACUCACACACACACACACACACGCGAUACACGCUGACAGGCGCACACACACACAGAGGCGAAUGCCUCCCCCCUACUAGCAGCCACACACACUGCAGACACAAACGCUGAGGCAAUAUAUAUUCCUACCAGGAGCUUAAGCCCUCUCUGAGAAAGCCCAUUCCCACUGGGCUUGUUAAAGACAGGCCAUGUAGAAAGAGCACAUUUAUAGCCCACACAUCAAAUACAGGGGCAAUGUAAUGUGUAGCUAAUAGCUCUCUGUGCAUUCACACCCACACACCCCGUACCAGAGGGCAUGCACGCACACACACACCCCGUACCAGAGGGCAUGCACGCAGACACACACGCCGUACCAGAGGGCACGCA